AAAAGAAAAAAAUUACUGAAAAAGAAAAAGGAAAAAUGGAAAAAGAAAGGAAGGGUGUCAAUACAUUUUCCUUUUGAAAAAAAAGAAUAAAAAGAGAAAAGAGAAGAGAAAUAACAGAAAAGUUAUUUGGAAGUGAAUGAAGUAUUUUGUAGUUCAACUCCCUCAGUUUCUUUCAAUUUUCUUUUGACCCUUUGAGUUUU
rnacentral:lncRNA from 1 species